rnacentral:rRNA from 1 species
GAGCAUGUGGUUUAAUUUGAAGCAACGCGCAGAACCUUACCAGCGUUUGACAUGUCCGGACGAUUUCCAGAGAUGGAUCUCUUCCCUUCGGGGACUGGAACACAGGUGCUGCAUGGCUGUCGUCAGCUCGUGUCGUGAGAUGUUGGGUUAAGUCCCGCAACGAGCGCAACCCUCGCCUUAAGUUACCAUCAUUUAGUUGGGUACUCUAAAGGAACCGCCGGUGAUAAGCCGGAGGAAGGUGGGGAUGACGUCAAGUCCUCAUGGCCCUUACGCGCUGGGCUACACACGUGCUACAAUGGCGACUACAGUGGGCUGCAAUCCCGCGAGGGUGAGCUAAUCUCCAAAAGUCGUCUCAGUUCGGAUUGUUCUCUGCAACUCGAGAGCAUGAAGGCGGAAUCGAUAGUAAUCGCGGAUCAGCAUGCCGCGGUGAAUACGUUCCCAGGCCUUGUACACACCGCCCGUCACACCAUGGGAGUUGGGUUCACCCGAAGGCGUUGCGCUAACCUCGCAAGAGGAGGCAGGCGACCACGGUGGGCUUAGCGACUGGGGUGAAGUCGUAACAAGGUAGCCGUAGGGGAACCUGCGGCUGGAUCACCUCCUU